rnacentral:rRNA from 1 species
ACGGGUGAGUAAUAUAUAGGUAAUGUGCCCUAGAGAAGAGGAUAACAGAUGGAAACGUCUGCUAAGACUCUAUAUGCCUUUAAGACAAAAGUCUGCAAGGGAAAUAUUUAUAGCUCUAGGAUCAGCCUGUACAGUAUCAGCUAGUUGGUGAGGUAAUGGCUCACCAAGGCAAUGACGCUUAACUGGUUUGAGAGGAUGAUCAGUCACACUGGAACUGAGACACGGUCCAGACUCC